rnacentral:lncRNA from 1 species
UAUACUCAUAAAAAUUUUGUUUCCAUUUGUUUCUCGGUGUCGUUUUACAUUGAUAUUGUUUGACUCAAAAAUUGUCGUAUACUUUAUGAGUGUGAAACAAUACGAGCAAAUCAAGGAACAAUCAUAGAAAAUCGUAAUAAUCUACUGGAGUAAAUGAAAGAAGCAAAAAUAAACACUCAUAGUUAGGAGAAGAAAUAUUAAAAGCUUUUAUUGAUGAUAUUGAUGUGGUCUGCCUCUCCAUGGAGGGGUUCAAAGCCUUGCAAUGGUGUUCCAUUGUUCCAUAACAUAACAAGAGUUUCAGUAUUCUUUUUCUCUAUCUCGUGAAUUGUG